AUGAUGCUCGCGGCUCCUGGAUGUGCCAUGAUGAUGCCGGAGCCCAUGGUGGAUUUCGUCGCCGACCAUCCUUUCGCGUAUUUCACAGUCGAGGAGGCGUCCAGCGUCAUCAUGUUUGCAGGGCAUGUUGUCGACCCUACCAAUGGCAAAGGCCCGGUGCGGAUUGUGCAACAGAAACAGGGGGGUGCACUUAGCCAGCAGCGGCUACCUGUGGGAGGAUACGACGAGUUGCCGGUGACCAGAAACCCGCCGGUGCAGUUCGAUGCAGCAGGGCAGACGAAGAAUCCUCGCUCCAGCGGCCUGGCAGCGCUCGCCGCGAGGCUUGCGAGGCGCCUGGCCGAGGACAGCACGGACGACAAUCUAGUCUUCUCGCCGCUGUCCAUCUACACCGCUUUGGCGCUCCUGGCUGCCGGCGCCCGGAAGGCCACACUGGACGAGAUCCUCCGCGUCCUCGGCGCGCGGUCACGUGGCGACCUCGAGAAGUUCGUGUCGCGCAUGGCGGUGGACGCGCUCCAGGAUAGGUCCGCCUUGGGCGGCCCCUGCGUGGCGUUUGCAUGUGGCGUGUGGAGCGACCUAAUGCGGCCGCUGAAGCCGGCCUUCCGCGAGGCCGUGGUGGGCACGUACAAGGCCGAGGCGAGCACCGUCGACUUCCGCGGCGCGCCGGAGGAAGCGUGUGUCCAGAUCAACGCAUGGGUGGCUCAAGUGACGAGGAACCUCAUCGACUCUGUCCUCCCGGCAGUGUCGAUAAAACCAGCAACAGCUCUGGUGCUCGGCAACGCCAUGUACUUCAAGGGCAAGUGGGAGGACCAGCCGUUCGACCGGAGGCACACCGUGGACAAGCCCUUCCACCGGCUCGACGGCAGCCAGGUCGACGUGCCCUUCAUGCAGAGCCGGGAGUCGCAGUUAGUCGCCGUGCAUGACGGGUUCAAGGUACUGAAACUCCGGUACAAGAUGGCGUCCCCAGUUCACGAGCAGCAGGCACUCCAGCUCCGAUCGUAA
rnacentral:rRNA from 1 species